rnacentral:rRNA from 1 species
UACGUAGGGUGCGAGCGUUAAUCGGAAUUACUGGGCGUAAAGAGUGCGUAGGCGGUUUCUCAAGUCCGCUGUGAAAUCCCCGGGCUCAACCUGGGAAUGGCAGUGGAAACUAGGAGACUUGAAUCUGGCAGAGGGGGGUGGAAUUCCACGUGUAGCAGUGAAAUGCGUAGAGAUCGGUAGGAACACCAGUGGCGAAGGCGGUCUCCUGGGGCAUUCUUGACGCUGAGACGCGAAAGCGUGGGGAGCGAACAGG